rnacentral:rRNA from 1 species
CAAUAGCGUAUAUUAAUGUUGUUGCAGUUAAAAAGCUCGUAGUUGGAUUUCUGAUGGGAGCCCUGGUCACUUUAACGAGUGUACUGAUGUGGCGUCCUGUCGUUUCAUGGGGAUGCUUGCUGGUAUUAAGUUAUCGGCUUGUGGAUCCAUGUCGUUUACUGUGAAAAAAUUAGAGUGUUCAAAGCAGGCCAUCGCUGUGAAUACAUUAGCAUGGAAUAAUAAGAUAGGACUGUGGUGCUAUUUUGUUGGUUUGCGUACUACGGUAAUGAUUAAUAGGGAUAGUUGGGGGUAUUCAUAUUCAAUUGUCAGAGGUGAAAUUCUUGGAUUUAUAGAAGAUGAACUACUGCGAAAGCAUUUACCAAGGAUGUUUUCAUUA